rnacentral:lncRNA from 1 species
GAAGGAAGCGAUCUAUAUAUCGAUCUAUCCGGAUCGAUCACCAUCUUUAUGAUGAUACUAUGAUUGAGAGUAUUUAAGAAUUAAAUAUAUGUCUCUAAUUCUUAACACUUUGAGAAUAUGUAUCAAAAUAUUAAUUUUAUGGAUUAUUCAAGGAUACAUCACACUUGAAUGAAAUUAAACUUACCCUUUUUAUUGAUCAAAUUAAUGUAUUAAGC